GACGAACGCUGGCGGCGUGCUUAACACAUGCAAGUCGAACGGAAAGGCCCUGCUUUUGUAGGGUGCUCGAGUGGCGAACGGGUGAGUAACACGUGAGUAACCUGCCCUUGACUUUGGGAUAACUUCAGGAAACUGGGGCUAAUACCGGAUAGGAGCUCCUGCUGCAUGGUGGGGGUUGGAAAGUUUCGGCGGUUGGGGAUGGACUCGCGGCUUAUCAGCUUGUUGGUGGGGUAGUGGCUUACCAAGGCUUUGACGGGUAGCCGGCCUGAGAGGGUGACCGGCCAAAUUGGGACUGAGACACGGCCCAGACGCCUACGGGGGGCAGCAGUGGGGAAUAUUGCACAAUGGGCGGAAGCCUGAUGCAGCAACGCCGCGUGGGGGAUGACGGCCUUCGGGUUGUAAACCGCUUUCGCCUGUGACGAAGCGUGAGUGACGGUAAUGGGUAAAGAAGCACCGGCUAACUACGUG
rnacentral:rRNA from 1 species